AUUACGCCAAGCUAUUUAGGUGACACUAUAGAAUACUCAAGCUAUGCAUCCAACGCGUUGGGAGCUCUCCCAUAUGGUCGACCUGCAGGCGGCCGCACUAGUGAUUGUAGUCAUAUGCUUGUCUCAAAGAUUAAGCCAUGCAUGUCUAAGUAUAAGCAAUUAUACCGUGAAACUGCGAAUGGCUCAUUAAAUCAGUUAUCGUUUAUUUGAUAGUACCUUACUACUUGGAUAACCGUGGUAAUUCUAGAGCUAAUACAUGCUGAAAACCCCAACUUCGGGAGGGGUGUAUUUAUUAGAUAAAAAACCAACGCCCUUCGGGGCUUCUUGGUGAUUCAUGAUAACUUCACGGAUCGCAUGGCCUUGCGCCGGCGACGGUUCAUUCAAAUUUCUGCCCUAUCAACUUUCGAUGGUAAGGUAUUGGCUUACCAUGGUUUCAACGGGUAACGGGGAAUUAUGGUUCGAUUCCGGAGAUGGAGCCUGAGAAACGGGUACCACAUCCAAGGAAG
rnacentral:rRNA from 1 species